rnacentral:rRNA from 1 species
AGCGAACGCUGGCGGCAGGCUUAACACAUGCAAGUCGAGCGGGCACUUUCGGGUGUCAGCGGCGGACGGGUGAGUAACGCGUGGGAACGUGCCCUCUGGUUCGGAAUAACUCAGGGAAACUUGAGCUAAUACCGGAUACGCCCUUUUGGGGAAAGGCUUGCUGCCGGAGGAUCGGCCCGCGUCUGAUUAGCUAGUUGGUGAGGUAACGGCUCACCAAGGCGACGAUCAGUAGCUGGUCUGAGAGGAUGAUCAGCCACACUGGGACUGAGACACGGCCCAGACCCCUACGGGGGGCAGGAGGGGGGAAUAUUGGAAAAGGGGCGCAAGCCUGAACCAGCCAUGCCGGGGGAGGGAAGAAGGCCUUAGGGUUGAAAAGCUCUUUUAGCCGGGACGAUAAGGACGGUACCGGAGGAAUAAGCCCCGGCUAACUUCGU